AGUGAACGCUGGCGGUAGGCCUAACACAUGCAAGUCGAACGGCAGCACAGUAAGAGCUUGCUCUUACGGGUGGCGAGUGGCGGACGGGUGAGGAAUACAUCGGAAUCUACUUUUUCGUGGGGGAUAACGUAGGGAAACUUACGCUAAUACCGCAUACGACCUACGGGUGAAAGCAGGGGAUCUUCGGACCUUGCGCGAUUGAAUGAGCCGAUGUCGGAUUAGCUAGUUGGCGGGGUAAAGGCCCACCAAGGCGACGAUCCGUAGCUGGUCUGAGAGGAUGAUCAGCCACACUGGAACUGAGACACGGUCCAGACUCCUUCGGGAGGCAGCAGUGGGGAAUAUUGGACAAUGGGCGCAAGCCUGAUCCAGCCAUACCGCGUGGGUGAAGAAGGCCUUCGGGUUGUAAAGCCCUUUUGUUGGGAAAGAAAAGCAGCAGGUUAAUACCCCGCUGUUCUGACGGUACCCAAAGAAUAAGCACCGGCUAACUUCGUG
rnacentral:rRNA from 1 species